AGGCUGAUUAUGUUCUUCAGUGGACUGGCUUAAAGGAGAAAACAAGAUUUGGGACAAAUUUUGCCUUUUUAAAUUCAACAAACAAAAGACAAGUCUUUGUUACAGCCCAGCAUGCUAGUGACUAUGCAAGACUCGGAGGUGCUGUUGGCGUCUUUGAUUUCUGAGAAAAAUGAUACAUAUAAAGUAAUUGUUUCUAACAUCAGAUUGCUGUUUUACACUGUAAAGCCGGCAGAUAUUUGGAGAGAUUUAGAAAAAAACAACACUUUCUCAUUAUAAAGAAAGAAUAAUAAAGGGAAAGAAAAUUGCACUUUAAGAAUGUGCAAUCUAUGAAGUAAUAAUUAAAAUGCGUUGCAAUAAAACUGUAUGACCGCAUGAAUUGCAUUUGGUAUUAAUUGGUGUAAAGUUUUACAUUGGUUUAAGAGGUAUUAUAUUGAUUUCAAGUAAUCAUAUCAUUCAAGUUUAUCAUAUUUUCUAUGUUGUUGAAAAUAUUGCAUAAUACUUAUGCCUGAAUCUGGCUUACAUGCUACUUAAAGUAAUCAAAAAAUACUUUUUAGCUGAAUAUUCCGAGCUAUUCUACUCACCCUGGUGUUUGCAUCAGCAUCGGCAUCAAACCUUGGUUUAAGUUUUGCAUGCAAUUACAUACAGCUGUCAUUUAAAGGCAUAUAGCUUUGAAACUUAUCUUUUCUUUUUCUAGCUCAAUUACCAACCUCACUGGGUCAAGUCCUAUAACUCUCGACAUGUAAUUUGGCCAAAUUAUGCCCCCUUUUGGACAUAGAAAAUCCUGGUUAAAGUUUUGCAUGCAUGUUACUGUCUCCAAAACUAAUGUAGAUAUUCAAUUGAAACUUCACAUGUGUCUUUGGGGUUAUAAAACUAGGUGACAACAUCAAGUCCCAUAACUUUGACAUGCAUUUUUACCAAAUUAUGCCCUCUUUUGGACACAGAAAAUCCUGGUUUAAGUUUUGCAUAUAACUUACUGUUUUCAAAACUAAUAUAGAUACUAGAUUUACACUCUAUAGAAAGGUUGAUAUUCCAGCUUCUUGGACAACAAUUUGAAUAGUCGAGCAUUGGCUGUCUUACUAAUUGAUUAUGGUCUAUUUUGAAAUGUUUAUUGCAGAUGUUUUUAAUGUAAGCUACCUCAGAUAAUUUCUAAUAAGUCUCCUUUGACAUUCUCAUUUUGUAUUCUGUAAAAUGUUGCUCAUUUCAAUUAUAGUGAUUUAUUCUGUGCCACAUAUCAUGUGAUAUUUUGUACAACCUAUUGGGUUUGCUGGAGAGUUUGACAAAGUCAUUGUGCCUAUAUUGUUUGUUAAGAUUUUAGCUCACCUAAGCACAAAAUGGUCAAGGUGAGCUAUUGUGGUCACCCUGUGUUCAUUGUUGUCUGUCAUUGACAAUUUGACUUUUAGCAGUCUGGAGGUCACAAUUUUAUCAAAAUUGUAAUGAAACUUGGUCAGAAUAUCACCCUCAAAAACAUCUUGAAAAAGUUUGUUAUUGGGUCAUCUUGGGCUUAGAAUUGGGUCACUAGGUCAAUUCAAUAGAAAAAAAAAUUGUUUAAAUGUAGAGAUCACAUUUUCUGCCUCACCACAAUACUUGUCGGAAUGUUUGCCUCUAUGAAACCCAGGAAAUAUUCAAAACUGGAUUACCUGUGGUCAAAAACCAGUCCCCAGGUCAGAUCAUAGAAAAACCUUGUUAACUCUCUAGAGGCUGCAUUUUCUGUUUGACAUUUAUGAAACUUCGUCAGAAUAUCUGUGUCUAUAAACUCUAUUUCAAAUUAAAAACUGGAUUACCUGAGAUCAAAAACUACAUCACUAGGUCAAAUCAUAGAAAAACGUUGUUAACACUCUGGAGGCCACAUUUUUUGUGAUAUCUUCUUAAAACUUUGUCAAAAUGAUUGUCUCUAUGAAAUCUAGGUCAAGCGCAAAACUUGGUAACAUGAGAUGAGAAACUAGGUCACUUGUUCAAAUCGUGGAAAGACCUUUUUAAUAUUCUAGAGGCCACAUUUUGUACUUGAACUUCAUAAACCUUUGUUUUUCUCUAUAAAACCUAGGUCAAGUUCAAAAUUUGCUUACCCGAGGUCUUAAACAAGGUCACAAGGCAAGUCAUAGAAAAACAUUGUUCACACUCUGGAGGCCACAUUUAUUAUUUGAUCUUCAUCAAACUCUUUCAGAAUGUUUGUCUCUUUUAAAUCUAAAUCAAUAUUUUGUUGUGUUCGACAGCUUUGCCAAUACUGUUCAAAUUUGUUUUAAAACAGUAAAAAAAUGAAAGUUGCAAUCCAUAAUUCGACACUUUCUGCUCCUUUGGUAUCACAGAGGCAAUAAAUAAAGUUCCAUUAGGGACGUGAGUGGUGUUGGUGGUGUUGCAAUUUUCAAUACCUCAUGCACAGUUGAACGAAGUCUGUAUUGGUGUAUGUAAUUGCACUUUUAUAUGUAUUAUAUUUAUUCAUUCGAAGCAAACUGAUAUUUUUCUUUUAAAUUGUGUAUCUUGUAAAUAAAUUUGUAUUUAUGAUUUUCAAAUUUUGUAUAUUUUGCAGUAUAUUGAAAUAUUAAAUAAAGUUAAAAUCUU